CGGAGGGGCUAGCGUUGUUCGGAAUUACUGGGGCGUAAAGCGCACGUAGGCGGCUUGCCAAGUCAGAGGUGAAAGCCCGGGGCUCAACUCCGGAAUAGCCUUUGAAACUGGUUCGCUUGAACACGGGAGAGGUGAGUGGAAUUCCGAGUGUAGAGGUGAAAUUCGUAGAUAUUCGGAAGAACACCAGUGGCGAAGGCGGCUCACUGGACCGUUGUUGACGCUGAGGUGCGAAAGCGUGGGGAGCAAACAGGAUU
rnacentral:rRNA from 1 species